UUUAGGGAGACCUACACCCCUCAAAUCUUGAAAGCAAAAUGCAAAUAGAGAUUGAGUUGGUCUAACCUAGGUCGGUCGCAGACAUUUGUAAAUUGUUGAAAGCUUUCAAACUAUGAUGAAGGUUCGAUAUGGGCUAUUAGCUCAGGUGGUUAGAGCGCACCCCUGAUAAGGGUGAGGUCCCUGGUUCGAGUCCAGGAUGGCCCACCUGAAAGUAAUUAGUAAUUGCUAAUUCGUAAUUCGUAAUUAACUACGAAUUAAGAAUUACGAAUUACGAAUUAUAAUCUGGGGGUUUAGCUCAGUUGGUAGAGCGCCUGCUUUGCAAGCAGGAUGUCAGCGGUUCGAGUCCGCUAACCUCCACCUGUGGCGAUUGGCAUUAAUAAAAAUUAGUGAGAGUUCAGCAACAUGACUUAAUUGAAGUCAGACUGCUGAGAGAUUCUCAGCCAGAACCUUGAAAACUGCAUAGUAACGCGAAAUAAGCAGGCAGACACAGAUAAUCUUUAGAGAUAUUUUUGUGAAUGCAAAUUGUGAAACACCAAAUGAAUUGAGU
rnacentral:tRNA from 4 species